UACGUAGGGUGCUAGCGUUGUCCGGAUUUAUUGGGCGUAAAGAGCGUGUAGGCGGCCAUACAGGUCAGCUGUGAAAACUCGAGGCUCAACCUCGAGACGUCGGUUGAAACCGUAUGGCUAGAGUCCGGAAGAGGAGAGUGGAAUUCCCGGUGUAGCGGUGAAAUGCGCAGAUAUCGGGAAGAACACCCGUGGCGAAGGCGGCUCUCUGGGACGGUACUGACGCUGAGACGCGAAAAGCGUGGGGAGCGAACGAGG
rnacentral:rRNA from 1 species